rnacentral:rRNA from 1 species
CCUACGGGUGGCAGCAGUGAGGAAUAUUGGUCAAUGGGCGCGAGCCUGAACCAGCCAAGUAGCGUGAAGGAUGACUGCCCUACGGGUUGUAAACUUCUUUUAUAAGGGAAUAAAGUGAGGCACGUGUGCCUUUUUGUAUGUACCUUAUGAAUAAGCAUCGGCUAACUCCGUGCCAGCAGCCGCGGUAAUACGGAGGAUCCGAGCGUUAUCCGGAUUUAUUGGGUUUAAAGGGUGCGUAGAUGGGUUGUUAAGUCAGUUGUGAAAGUUUGUGGCUCAACCGUAGAAUUGCCGUUGAUACUGGCAGUCUUGAGUGCAGGUGAGGUAGGCGGAAUGCGUGGUGUAGCGGUGAAAUGCAUAGAUAUCACGAAGAACUCCGAUUGCGAAGGCAGCUUACUAGACUGCCACUGACGUUGAUGCUCGAAAGUGUGGGUAUCGAACAGGAUUAGAUACCCGGGUAGUC